GUAAAAACUAUGAUAGGGAAUAGUAAACAUGUCAAUGGAUUUAAAAGAGAGUGGGAAUAGGUGAAAACCCAUAAAUCAUGCAGGUUGAACUCGCCCUGGAGUUAUAAGCUGAAAUUUUAGUAGGCUCUAUCGGUUUACGCCGUUAUUUGAUUGAGAAAAAAUUUGGGUGGCACCGCGACAGACUUCUCGCCCCAUGG
rnacentral:ncRNA from 1 species